UCCUAUGCCAUGGCCAGCUGGGUAAGUGCCAGAGUGGAACCUGGACUUCAGUGAGCUAAGUCAAUUAGUGAUAUAUGCUUACUAACACAGAUCCACUUCUGAUUUUCUUUUUCUUGAGAGUUAAAUUAAUUCAAAUUGUUCUUUCCUAGGUUUUCCAUUUUAUUUUUGUUAUUGUAUGUAUAUUUUUUUCAGUAACUCUCAGACCUGAGAAGUCUUCUUGCCCUGCACAAGGAGACCAAGCACUGCUCUGGGUUACGACAGUUUGAAACACUGUUUCUGAAACUGGACAGCUGCAUUAACAGAACAUAAACUCCCCACCAUCGAAAUCUACAGUGUUUGCUGAAACAAAUCCUAUCUCAAUUAAAACAAAAAAACAAAGAUAAUUCUGAGUAAAACAUGACAGCGGAGACUGAAGAACUGAACACCAUUCUGAGCACCAGGUGACCUUCCAAACACCCACUGCAAAUUAUUGAUAUUAUCAUUUUUUAUAUUGAUUAGCUGCAAAUCCCUAUUUCUAACUCCUUCUUAGAAUACUAUACACUAUCCAAGUAUUUUCUGAUGUGAGACCCCCCUUAGUGCUCCUCUUUGCCUUUAAAACCUAACAGGGAAGCUAUACCCAAACACCUUAAUUGUUACUUUGACACUGUGAGUUUUGCCUGCCUUUCAAAGUCCGGGACACAGUGUGCACAGAAGUGUGAGUGUAGGUUCGGAAAACCUGCCUGCAUUUCUUCAGGUUCCAAGCAGUGCCAUCAAGCCUGAAGCUGGCAAAAGUCAGGAUGAAUCCUUGUAUUUUGUUGGAGAACAUUUAAUUGUGCCUAUCACCCAGUAAAAGAAAAAAAAGAUUACUGGGAAUUAUUAGCCUUUUGAAAGGAACCUGCAUGUUACCACCACGCUGAAGUUUCUGUAACCGAGAUGCAACUGUGAAGUGAGUGGCCAAGAUGAAGGCAUUCAAGUGCCUCAAGGGCCACUCUGAAGUAGAAGAGAAAAGUAAACUGUGAAUAACCAGGAAAAGAGAGAAAAAAAAUAAUUCAGGUACUUUCUAUGAUACUUCCAUUGCUAGCUGGCUGUUUUCAUUUCCUCCCUAACCUUCCAGAUUUUUGGGGAACUGGAAGAUAUUCUUUGCAAACUUACUGGGACUGAGAAUCACUUAUGGAUAUUUUGCCACUGGACAUCACAACUAUAGAAGAAUCAGUAAAUGACUGUUUGCCAGCUCUCAGUGAAAAGCCAAAAUAGUUUUCUUUCAAAGGCUCUCACUAUAUAUACUGAAAGAGAAACCUGAAUUCUAUAAAAACAAUGCUUAAGCAGGAGAAAAAAAAUAGCAUGGAAUAAAACUGCAGUACUGAAAUGCAAACUAGCAGUUAUAUGCAGACCAUUCCCACUGAGAACUGUAGAUAGGAUCUCUUAACAGCCAGCUCUUGAGUCUGUAAGGCUAAUUACAGGCUGGCUCUGUCACUCCUCAGUGACAACAAGCUCUUGCUAUUUUGUGGUAUCCUGGCCAGAAGCAAAGGUAAUGGACUCCAAAGAAGCAACCAGCAAUUGAUAAUACCAAACCCAGAUUAUUUUGCAGUGAUAAAAGUAGAAUGUUGCCUUAGUCUGAUUAGUCUGUCCAAAGUUUCAGGAACAAUUUCAUAAGGAAAACAGGAAUAGUUUAAGACAACACAAAGUGCAGCUCAGGUGCGUCUGAUCUUGGGCUCUGUGAGAGCUGAUGGAAUUGGAGGACAGAAUUCAAUGGCUUUGUGCUUGCGACUCUCUGGGAAGGAACAGGAAGUUCUGCACUACCGCAGUAUUCCAACAUAAAUGUGAGAAAAUCAUUUCAAUAAGGUUCAUGCCAGUGUAAGCUGGUCUUUAUUCAUAAAGCAGAUAUGCCAUAUUUAUGCUAUAAUGAAGCUGUGGCUCUUGUUCACAAAACACAUGGCAUUAUAACUCAUAUUGUAAGAGGGCAAAUGUACAGCACAGGGCAUUUGUAAACCUAGAACAGUGACACACCUAUUUUCACUUUAAAUCACAGUAAACCAACUUCCACUAAGAAAUCUGCCAUGCGUGCCAAACAAAAGCCCAGUAAUGGCAGCAGCAAUUAAUAAAUUAGAGUCUUUAUUCUCGUUUUACACAUUCUUUUUUUUUGUGGCCUACAGACAGGCAAAACUUGCUUAAUCUCACUAAAUCCUCGUACAUUUAUACAGCUUUUUAGUUUUGCUCUAGUUUUGUUCUCACAUCAUUGGCUGUACUUAGAGAAAAACAUUCUUUUUGUAAUUUCACUCUUCUAGUUCUGGGACUGAUUGGUGGAUUUUAUUAUUUUUCACUUAAUCUGCAUGUGGUUUUUGGACAACUUAGUAACAACCUUGUGUCACAUGUCACUGCUACUCUUCCAGAGCUAUUUUCCCACAUUGUAAGGAGUGAAUGAAGAGGUUCUAAUUAUUGGUAUGUGCUUUUUGAUUAGUUUAUAGAAUAUUUAUUAAGAAGUUCAGUAACCUGCCAAAGCACAAGGGCAUCACUUAAACUCUCCUUAUACCUGCUUCAUUUCAGAGUGUUUGUUGCAUGGAGAAAAUAUUGUGACAACACUUGUAAGAGACAAUAUUUAACCAAAAGAAAGGGAAUUUAUCUAUUUGUUUAUUUAUUUCAAGAAAACUCUGCCUUAAUGAAGUUUGUGAUAAAACAUUUGUGCAAAAUUUGGGCAAAAUCAAUAUUGACCUGGCCUAAGACUCAGAAGUUCACCGAUUUUAACUUUGCAGGUCAACCAGAACUCUUGUUUUUCCUAAAAAAAAAUAAAAAUAAAAAAAUCCUCUAAUUUUCAUUUGUUUAAACUGAAAACUUAGUUACUCAUAACAUUCUCCCCCUACACACAUACUCAGAUUAUUUGAUUAAGCCUAAGAAUUGGAUGGGAAAAUGGACAAUCCUUGCUUGAUUUUAUUUAUCUUGGACCCAGAUGCCAAUGCCUGUGAUGACAAAUGCCAGCAGGAAUUCUGAAAGCAAGCACAAGGAAAGCCAAGGGUCACGCUGCACACCUUCACAACACUUGCAUUUUGUUUCUGAAUUACUUUACCUUUAUUACCUCUCCCACAGUUUUAGCAAAUCCUGUCAUAUGGAUGAUGCCUAUUUGAGAAUACAGUUAAAUCUCAAUGCAUGUUUUUCCUUUUAUAAGUAAAACUGUUUCUACCAUACAUGGAUUACUAAAUGCAAUACAUUGUGAUGCAUUUUUUUCCAAAGUCAUCUGUUUGAAACAAAUUCAGGGAAAUUUUGUUAAAGCUACUAUGAAAGUUUAGGUGAAUUUCCAUCAAAUUAUAUUUAUUUUUCCUUAAGUUUGGCUACUAGGCAAUAGUACUCUUUAAAAAUAUUUACUAAGGCAGCAACUAGCCCAAAUAAGCAGCUGACCACUGGACUUCAUUAAACAUUACCAAACACACCUUGUCCAGAUAAUAGUCCUUCUUUUUUGUCACAAGUUAUAGUAACAAGGAAUUACAGAAAAUACGUUGGAAAGAUUGCCAUGUCAAUACCCUAUAAUUUUUCAAGUCAGAGUCAAUUAUGUCACUUGUUUCCAACAAGAUGCUGUGAUAGUAUUCUGUGAGAAGGCUUGUAGGAAGGUUUGCAUCGGUAACAAAAUUUCUCCUUUGAAAAGACUGUUUGGAUACUUUGCCAUUCACUUUUGAAAACCUUUUUAAUGUACAUUUGUUAAUAUAGCCAUUUUAAGGAAUGUCUAAAAACAAUUACUGUAGCCUAAGUGUCCAACAAAUAUAUAUGGACUAAAGACAUAUACAUAGACAUUAAAGAUUUUAAAAAAUAA